rnacentral:rRNA from 1 species
ACCUAGGGGGGCAGCAGUAGGGAAUUUUCGUCAAUGGGCGCAAGCCUGAACGAGCAAUGCCGCGUGAACGAGGAAGGUCUUCGGAUCGUAAAGUUCUGUUGAAGGGGAAAAAGAGCGGAGAGAGGAAAUGGUCUCCGAUUGAUAUUACCCUUCGAGGAAGUCACGGCUAACUACGUGCCAGCAGCCGCGGUAAUACGUAGGGGGCAAGCGUUAUCCGGAUUUACUGGGUGUAAAGGGAGCGUAGACGGUGAUGCAAGUCAGAAGUGAAAGCCCGCGGCUCAACUGCGGGACUGCUUUUGAAACUG